GCGUUCUCCCCUUGUGCAGGCGGGGAGCUGAGGGACGGCGUGUCCUGGAUCAGGGCGAGGGAAGCCUUGCGGGAAGGCACAGGGCCGUCCCCUACGGCCGCACCGUGUGCCCCAUAAUGUUUGGUGUCCAAACGCUUCUUGGGCUUUGUCAGCCUCGGGGCUGUGACCGCUCCCCUGGGGUUCCAGGGCCCAGCCACUCUCUGGGUGAAAAGUCUUUUCCUAAUAGCCACCCUAAACGGCCCCUGACUCAGCUUCGUGCCAUUUCCUGGAGUCACUGGUCACGAGAGUGAAGACAUUGGUACCUGCCCCUCCACUUCCCCUCACGAAGAUGUUGAAGAACACAAUGAGGUCUGACCUCGGUCUCCUCCGGGCUGAACAAAGUGACCUCAGCCACUCCUAAGGCUUCCCCUCCAGACCUCUCCCCUUCCUCCUGGCCCUCCUUUGGAUGCCCAAAACAGCACAGAGUACUCAAGCACUCCCCAGUGUGGAAGCAUGAGGAGUUGCUCGUCACUGGAAAACAUCAACACAGCUUCAUACAGUACAGAAGUGAUGGGGAAAUGGGGCCUGUGCUUGGCAACAUGGCUUUGCCCAGAAGGCCUCCCAGAAUCACCCAGAAGGAGGAAAACCAGCAUUCCCAGCCCGCCCCCAGCGUGAAUCCAGGGAUUCAGACCCUAUAAGGCAGUGAAGCUCUGCAAGCAGCAAAGAUAGUGUUUCGAAAGCUUUCUUGUUCUUGGCAAUGUGGAAAUUUCACAAACAGGAAAAACUGCUUUUACUUUUCCUAAAGGGGAACCGUUUAUGCCUCAUGAAAUAUUAAUGCCUUGAACUACAGUUACUUUAAAGGCAGAGCUGAAAUACAUGAAAUAUUCUUAGCUGAGGACAAACACAGGGAAGCCCCUCACCAAAAUCACAUCAGUUUAUCAUUACCAGACAUCUACUUUUUUAUAAUACCCACUUUAAUUUGAAAUCACUCUACACACAAGACAGUUAAAGAAAAAGCUGUGGAUUACAUAAAAGAGUACAAUAUGAAAUUAAUCUGAUAAUUUUGAAAGGUAAAGCUAACUCCCAGUAUAGCAGAUAUUGCCAGUGAAAUGUUCUUCCUCCAUUUCUGAGCAUUAAAUAAAUUCUUGGAAAGUGAAGAGCCAAGCUCUGUGGAGCCUAGAUACACAAACUAUCCUAGAAUUUGACUCAAAAAAUCAGGUUUCUUUCUCAGUUACAGUUAAUCAUUCAGUCUGCACUACUGUAGGGAAGAACAGAAUCAGGUUCAGUGAGAUGAGCUCUCAUCACUUUUAUUGAGAAGGACAAUAACUAGGCUGAUUUCACAGCACAUCCUGCAGCUGCAAUCUCUUUGGGCAGACUUUCACAUGACCACAGUGGGAUAUCUGCAAAAUCUGGGGGUUUUUUCCUAAAUAAGGUUAAAAACUUCAUAAAUACAGUACUGUAUAUAUAAUAAUUUGGAUUCAUACCCUCCCUUACACACCUGCCAACUGCCUGAUGGGUCAGUAACUGCAAUGUAACUUUUUGUUACUGAAACGUGAGAAACAAGGUUUGUCAUGUUAUAUCUAAGGAAAAUGAGACACCGAGACUAAAUGAACCUCUAUUCUACAGAAUAAAAUGAAUUGUCUUUAUGUGGAUUUAAACCAAUCCUAUGCCUCCAGAUAGUAUCAGAAUAUUAGAUUUGUUUUACCAUGAAGUAGACUUGAAAUUCUGAAGAGAGUCAGCCUAGAGAAGAAUACAAGCAAGUAUAAUAAAUAAAACACACCUGAGACUGAUAUUAAGAGGAAACAGAAUGGUCUUGCAGUUUUCUGGAUAAAAAGUAAAAUAAUAUAUAAAUUUUUCUGGGUUUACUUUCACUUGGACUUACUGGAAUACAAAAGUGGGCUGUUCCCCACGAGCUAUUUUUGCACAGGAAAACCAAGACAUUCAAUUCCUCACCAUGCUGAGCUCUUUUCAAAGCUAUAUAUACAAGAUGAUUAUCACUCAUUAAGUAGUUUGCUCUUCAUUCCCAAUGCUGCAGGGUGCAGCACUAGGAACUGAAAUGAAUUUAGGCAGAGCUGUGCCAGGACCCUGCAGUCAGGUGCUGGGUUCUAAUGACAGCAUCAGGACCUCACAGCCUUACACCCAGCUGUGCUGCAAGAAAGGCCCCAGGACAGCCAAGUGCUCAGGCACCCUUGUGAGAGCUGUGGGGUGCUGGGGACUUGAAUUAACUUCUGUUAAUCUGUGCCAUUAGAGGGCUGAGGUAAUCGGGUGGGCUUGGCAAGGCAGGAAAGGAGAUUCUUCUUCUGAGCACUGAACUUGCCAGGCCCUUUGUGCAGUUAUCCCAGCUCUGGGAUCGUGGCUGCACACUGAGAGGGGAGAUGGCAGCAGGGCUGUGCCUGGCAGAGGAUGGGUGGCCACAGCUUUGGAGUGGGGGACAGGUACCUGUGGAGCUUUGUGAGGUGUGAGUGCUCAUCUGAGACUGGUUUAUGCUGUCAGUGUCAAUGGGAUAUUGAUCUGUGUGUGUGCAGGAGGAAAUCUGGAUCCUGUGCUGAGUCUGAUUUCAUUCCCACAGCACAGGGAUGAAUUUCCACUGAGGCUGCUUUCCCUUGGUGCUUACACACUGCAGGCUGCUUCAGUGCUCUGCAAGGCAGGAUUUCUUCAGGAAGACAGAUCAGACAUCACCUGUCCAUGUACCUAUAGACUUUUGCCAGAUCAAAUCUCAUCUCUGCUGAAGUGUUUUAGCAUUAAAGCAUGAAGUCAGCAAAACUCAGAAUGCCCUAGCUAAUCAGACAGAAAUGUCCUGUCUGCUUCAGACAAAAAGUUUACUGUCAGCAAUACAGAACUGUGUGAAUACAGUAUUAAUGUUCACAGAAAGAUAGCUUGUGUGAAAAAAAGUCUUCUAAAAGAAAAUAAAUACCUUGUUUGUAUUUUGUUAGUCUACUUCCUCUAAGUUCUUUAAAAUGGAAAUGGUCAGAAAAUUCAGUUGAAGGGAAACAGUUCACAUCUAUGCUUUGGCAUAGAUUCUGGUAAUUUGAACAUAUAUUCUGUCCUCACACUUGGCCUUUUACAUUCCCUGAAGUCAAUAGGAAAGAUGGGUUGGUGGUGGUCUGGUAAUGUACUUCACCAUUUUUUUAUGUUGCAGUGGGGCAAUACAGGGCUUAAAUUUUGUUCCAAUAAAGCUCAAGUGACCUUGGCAGGCUGUGCAGGUGGUAUCUGACCAUGUGUUGGUUAAUAUGGAAGUGAAUCUUCCUGUCUGUGUUGCUGAAAUGAAAUAUUUACUUAACUGACAUUGCUUGAAAUCUUUACUAUAAAUUGUAUUUCUUAUGUUGUUUCUGUACUAUACUGUAUUUUACUCUAUUUUUACUAUAAAUUGUGUCACUGUAAACAUUGAGUUGAGGACAUGAUGAGCAAUGAUAAGAACAAGUUUGUUUCUGUGUUAUCCCCCACCUUGCUAUUCUGUCCUACCUCACACCAUCCUGUUCCUAUAGUUAUUAUGCUUCUGGAAACAUUCAGCUCCUACAAAUGCAUCAAGUAAUAGGGUAAGUAGAAAAUAGGAAUGGACUUUCAAGAAACCACCCAGUACAUAUUCCUGUCUUUAAAACAAAGUUAACUAUCCAACUUCAUCUUUUCUGACAGUGCCAACCACACUGCAGGAAAUUAAAUACUAAGGUGAGCCAGUGGAAGCCCUUGGAGCCCUAUGGCAAAGUGAGUUCAGUUUCUAAUUCUGUCCUCCACUGUCUUUGGUGGUAGUGACAGGGUCUGAGUGCCAAGUCCAGGAUGGGGCCUGUCUCAGUUUCUCUGUAUGACUGAAAACCUCUCUGGAGCAAAUCAGCUCCAAACUCAAGCAAACUCAUUGUGCUGAGGUCCUGUCAUCAGGGAAACACAGGGAGUAUGUAUGGUGGGGAAGGGGAAAACUCCUGGGCUUGGAGAUCUCAAAAUAUAUUUGGGCUUAAAAAACUAAUUUUGACAUUAGUAGCUUUUAUUCUUGUCAUUUUAAUUCAGGAGAUUUUCUUUUCUUAAGAAUGAAGAAACAGAAAUGAGUUAAGUGAGAGAAAAACAAUUGUAAGACAAAGCAAAAAAGUCAUGGCUCUGUUUUAAAGGUAGAAGUCCGUGUUCCUUAUGAAGACAGAAAAAUUCUCCUGAAACUGAACAGGCAUAAUUGGGACUGACUGUCUGCUUCUUUGUGUCUGUGGCUGAAGAGAGGAAGUUCUGUGACAGAGAACAGCCAAGAGCAAAUAUAUAUGUCUAUGCAUGUGCCUACCUGUCAAUCUGUGAUAUCUAUCUAUCUAUCUAUCUAUCUAUCUAUCUAUCUAUCUAUCUAUCUAUCUAUCUAUCCACCUGUAAUUCCUCUUACCCACUCACUCUGCUUGUACAAAUAUCCUAAAUGCCUUAAUUCUGUGCUUUUUUUUUUGAUCAGAGAUACCAUGUGUUUAACAAAAACCUAAGAAAAAUAAAUGAUGUCAUCUCUCAUGCCUUCAUCUGUCUGGGCUGGGUGGUGUGUUCUGAGUAGUGCAUCAUUGUGUUCCACUGCAGGGAAAAAAUCCUGGGUGUAGAGAGUGUGUGAGGAGUCAGGCUUGCCCAGGCGUGCACACCUCUCUCAGUCAUGGAACCCUGACUGUAUCACACCCUGUGAUGUUACAGGGUGGGAGGGAAUUCCCUCCACUUCUGAGUGUGUCAGCUGAGUGGGAGAGGUAGCAUCAGCAGUCCCAGAUUAGACUCCUGCUCUAGGCAGCUUCUGCACAGUGAAGUUUUGGGUUUGAGUCCACUUCAUGUUCUAGCAUGAAAUAUGCAGCGUUUACCUAGAUGACAUUGCCAUGGGUCAGGGCUUGGUGUUUACCUUGAAAAAAACCUGAUAUAUGAGCAAGAGCCAGGAGUAAUGCCAUCAGUAUAAAAUGUUCCUACAUUGGAAUAAAAAUGGCUGGCAACUCCCUGUAUAUUUUUAAGGUUUCCAAAAAUAGAUCUAAGUCACAGGCAAAAAUGAAUGGAGCUGAGGCUUAAAUGGAAAGAACGGGUAAAGGAUUAUUUGUCUGAAAUGGUUAGUGCUGAGAUCAUCUUCCACAUUACAUGCCACUACCUGGAAACAUGGGCCAGAUUUCUUUUCCCUUUUUAUGGCAUUCUGAGCCCUAUUUUCCAAUGCAUUGAUUCACUUGACCAAGUUUCAGUACAGUGAAGAGAACUGACUUAAUAUUAGUGUUCAGAGUGAGAACCCCACCCCUGCUCUGAUUCUGUCUGUAGGAGCUGGAAUUCCUGGAGCACGGAGUCAGUCUUGGAGCCCUGGAGAAGCAGAAGAAAGUUAGACUAUAAUCAGUUGCUCUGUGUGUGAGGGAGAGAAGGUUUUUAAAUCACAGUGUCAGGUGAGAGGGAAGGUCAGGGAUAGCUGAGUGGGAGUAGAAGCCGACUGGAGGGUUGAACCUCUGGGGAGGCUCACUCCUCUAAUCAGUGAAGCCUUAAUGCAUAGGUGAACCUAGGGCAUUUUGUAGGGGGGAGAAGGAGAAUUUUGAAGCCAGCUCCGAAACUGCAGUUUGCUGCUAAACCCACCCAUGUCUCUCAGGCAUGGCCUGGGGCUGAAGGUGCUAUUCUGACUGCAUUUGAGACUGUCUUUCUUGGAGGUUACUGUCCCCACAGCGGUGCCAGCAAAUCUGCAUGUCUCCUUGCCUCCUAACUUACUUCUGUCACCCUGAUUAAAAUCUAUCUUGCUAAAAAUAUUUGAACAGGUUCUAUAGACACACAAGCAAGUCUGGAUCAUUUUGACAGGUAAACAUGCCUACAUUAACAAGGAGUGUGGUGUAAUAAGAGCAGAUAUGGAAAACAAAAGAGCUGCUGCUGGCUAACAUUGACCCUAAAUGUGCUUCACAGUGAGAUGAUUUUGGAGUUGCUCUGUUCUGGUCCAAUUAACUGAAUGCUUGCCAACAGCUGGAGCAUGAUAGGUACACUCCUGGAGCACAUCCAAAAGGAAUUCAGUUCACCAGAUAUGAGACUGCACCAUGAUGGGAAACAAAAUGCACUGAAUUAGGAAAUUAGCUUUAAAACCAACCUCCUGGUCUGAAUUAAAAAGCGAUUGUAAAUGUGACUUUCUCAUGCAGUUGGUGGCUGAGAAGCUGAUAAUCCCCAGGAGACCUAGAGGACAGUGAUGAUGGGGAUGUGGGAAAACUUUUAAACAACUAUUUGUACACUGGCACUGGGUGUAUUUCUAUGUGUGCAGAGUGAAAAUGUCAAAAGCAUGACCCUGACUUUCUAGCUGUUCUCAACACCUAUGCAGCAUGAGCACAUGGACAGUUUCCAAGUAGAGGGGCAUAUUUUACACCAUUACUGUGCCUGAGGACACAAAGUAUUGAGAUUUGGAGAAGAAGACUCCAUAUUAAUCUGCAUCUGUUCUAUGACUUUGCAGUUGGAGGGAUUUGGAUCAGACUGUUGUGCAGUUUCCCCCUUUUUAUGCAUCAUAGAGCCUGGACGAGAAAAACAGCUGUUAUUCAUGACCUGCUAUCUGCCUCUCUGGCUCUUGAUACUAGAAGUACUUGAACUGUAACACCACAAAAGGCUUGAAAAACAAACUCUUUGCAUUGACAGCUCCAAAAAAAAUAACCAGGAAACUAGUCUCUUAAAUUAAGAAUUGAGAUUAUAUGUAGAGCAAUUUAUAAACUAUUAACAUAACAUACAGAAUUUGCACUGUUGCCUGAAGCCUUAAGAUGACAACUUUGUCAGCCCCCUCUGAGAUAACCAAUCUUGUUAUAUUACUUUGAUAGCUAUUUAAAAAGAAUAUAAAACCAUCCAGUCACCCACUGACAGUUUGUAGGACCAAGGAGAGCUAUCUGCUAGUCUCUGUUUCUAAUCUAGAGGACACUAAUGCCUCCAUUAUCUCCUGUCAUAACUGGAUUUUCUUUGCAGCUGAGGUUCCUGCUAUUACAGCUCAUUGUGAGUAUUUGUGACCCACGUGCCUUUGGGGAGAGUUUAAUUUCAAUUAGUGAAUCUGCAUGACCUAAAUAUCCUCUCAGAAGUGGCUUCUCCCUGGUUCUUGCUCAGUAACACUUGGUUUGGUCCUUCUUUGGCCUUUUUCACCAUCUAGGAAUGAUUCUAUGUACAAUUACUCCUGAUAUUAAAAGCUGAUACCUUCAGAAAAGCCCAGUGUAAAUGGAUGCCUUCCAUAUAGACUCGUGUGCAGUGGUCACCUGUACCAGAACCAUCUGGAGCCUGGUUCUCACCCCCUGAGGUUGGACUGGCAGCCAUGGAAGGAAGCGCCUGGUGGCCUUUGUUACAGCCUCCAAGUUCCCAAUCUCUGAGUCAGAAAGGCAGUGGCCCUACAUGGUCAUCACACCAGUACCAUCAUCUUGGCUCCACACCAGCCAUCUGAGGAGACAGAGCAGGAGAGAGGGGGAAGAGAGACAAAACUCCCACAGGGCCUGUUUCUUUGGGGCACUGAGGCUGUGAAG